rnacentral:lncRNA from 1 species
AUGUCAUUCCAUAUUAAUUCCUCUUUCCAGGAAAAAAAAAAAAAAAAAAAAUCUCUAGCAAAUCCAGCGACUUGGAUUUCUUUCCUUGAUAGAAAAUCGAGGAAAUCAUCAAACUCAAAAUUCCUUCCAGGGAAUUUUUUGCAGACUCAAAUUGCACAUCACAAAAUGCCCUCUGCGAGGAAAUAUUCCCCCAGAAAAACAACAAAAAACCAACCUUGGAGUGCAGGAAUUUCUCCUGGGAUGGAGCUCACACCCUCGGGAGCUGCCAUGGGGCUCAGUUUGGGAUUUUUGGGUGUCUUGGCCGUGUUUUUCUCCGUUGAGGAAGGAAAACAUCUGACACGAUGUCCUGGGGGGCUGAGAAAGGAGAAGCUGAUGUUGCAGCCCCAACGUGGCACAAUCCUGGCUUCUCCCCUGUUUGGGUUUCCCACACCAGUCCAAGGUGGGUCAUUCCUGCUGGGAAGAGCGUGGCAGCUCCUGGGGGACUGGGAGGGAAGGAGGGGACGUUUUCCUGGAUUUUGGUGUCACUCCGUGCCGUUCCCACUCCUCCAGGAGCAGGAGGAGCCCCCUCCCACGUGGAGGGGCUGCGCUUUGUCCUUGUCACCCCCAACUCAUCCUGGUGAGCCGAAACCUUUGGGUUUUCCUCCUUCCCAGGGGGAAUUCCACCGGGAUUUUUCCCAGCAGAAAACCAGGGGUGCUUGUGGUGGCCCUGGGGGACACGUGGUGGCCCUGGGGAGCACAUGGUGGCCGUGGGGGACACGUGGUGGCCGUGGCGGGCAUGUGGUGGCCCUGGGGGACACGUGGUGGCCGUGGGGGACACGUGGUGGCCCCGGGGACACAUGGUGGCCCUGGGGGAUGCGUUGUGGCCCUGAGGGGCGUGUGGUGGCCCCAGGAGUGCGUGGUGGCCCUGGAGGACGCGUGGUGGCCCUGAGGGGCGUGUGGUGGCCCUGGGAAACAUGUGAUGGCCUCAGGGAGGGCGUGGUGGCCCCGGGGACAUAUGGUGGCCCUGGAGAGCGCGUGGUGGCCCUGGAGGGUGCGUGGUGGCCCUGGGGGAUGCGUGGUAGCCCUGGGAAAUGUGUGACGGCCUCAGGGAGGGCGUGGUGGCCCCGGGGACACGUGGUGGCCCUGGAGGGCGCGUGGUGGCCCUGGAGGGUGCGUGGUGGCCCCAGGAGCGCGUGGUGGCCCUGGAGGGUGCGUGGUGGCCCCAGGAGCGCGUGGUGGCCCUGGGGAGCGUGUGGUGGCCCUGGGGAGCACGUGGUGGCCCUGGAGGGUGUGUGGUGGCCCUGGAGGGUGUGUGGUGGCCCUGGGAAGCGCGUGGUGGCCCUGGGGACAUAUGGUGGCCCUGGAGGGCACGUGGUGGCCCUGGGGAGCGCGUGGUGGCCCUGGGGGAUGCGUGGUGGCUCCAGGAGUGUGUGGUGGCCCCAGGAGCGCGUGGUGGCCCCAGGAGCGCGUGGUGGCCUUGGGGAGCGCGUGGUGGCCCCAGGAGCGCGUGGUGGCCCCGGGGAGCGCGUGGUGGCCCUGGGGGUGCGUGGUGGCCCCAGGGAGCGCGUGGUGGCCCCAGGAGCGCGUGGUGGCCCUGGGGAGCGCGUGGUGGCCCUGGGGAGCACGUGGUGGCCCCAGGAGCGCGUGGUGGCCCUGGGGGAUGCGUGGUGGCCCUGGGGGAUGUGUGGUGGCCCUGGGGAACACAUGGUGGCCGUGGGGGAUGCGUGGUGGCCCCAGGGAGCGCGUGGUGGCCCCAGGAGCGCGUGGUGGCCACGUUCUGCUGCUCGUGCCCCGUCCCUGCUCCCAGCCAGGCACGGCCGUGGGAUGUUCCUGGCAGGGAACGCUGCCGGAGGAACGCGGGAAUGA